rnacentral:rRNA from 1 species
CACCGCGGUUAUACGGGUUUGCCCAAGUUGACGGCCUACGGCGUAAAGCGUGGUUAGGGGUACAAACACAAUAAAGCCAAAUUGUCCUUCAGCUGUUAUACGCUAAUAGGAUCAAGAAGCCCAGCUACGAAAGUGACUUUAGCACCCCUCCCCCUGAACCCACGAAAGUUUUGACA